CCUGCACACCCAACGGCCUAAUCACCGGAAGGCCACAGUUUGCAUCAGGGCUCACUCUUGGUGGGGUGACACAGAGGCCCAGAGAAGUGAGGGAAGGCCGGAGGUCCCGUCACAAAGAUGUGGCGCUGCACAGAAUCAAACCUACCUUCCUGCAAACAGCACAGGGCAGGUAAACCCUGGCCUCCUCGGCCGGCGUCCGCCCCUGGCCUGAGCUUGUCGUGGAGCAGAGCUCAGACUUUCCCAUCUUGGAAACCGUUCACACUCUGAAAAUGUUUUGAGGAUCUUAAAGAGCUUUGGUUUAUGUGGGUUAUAUCUACUGACAUAUACUGUACCAGAAAUUAAAAUGGAGAAAUUUAAAAAAUA